rnacentral:sRNA from 1 species
GCCAGGUGUGGAAGUGCAUGCCUGUAAUCCCAGCUACUAGGGAGGCUGAGGCAGGAGAAUCAAAGUUUGGGGCCAGACUGGGUAGCUUAAUGAGAGCCUGUCUCAA